UACGUAGGGGGCUAGCGUUGUCCGGAAUUAUUGGGCGUAAAGAGCUCGUAGGCGGUUUGUCGCGUCUGCUGUGAAAACCGGAGGCUCAACCUCCGGCCUGCAGUGGGUACGGGCAGACUAGAGUGCGGUAGGGGAGAUUGGAAUUCCUGGUGUAGCGGUGGAAUGCGCAGAUAUCAGGAGGAACACCGAUGGCGAAGGCAGAUCUCUGGGCCGUAACUGACGCUGAGGAGCGAAAGCAUGGGGAGCGAACAGG
rnacentral:rRNA from 1 species